ACGAAAAAUCCUUCACUUUUCCCUCUUUAGCCAUUUCACUCUCUCUCUCUCUCUCUCCAAUUUUCAAAUUUCAAUUUCUCAAACCCUAGAGAGCUGCCAGCACUCACAAACCCCAACGAAAACACAGCCAUAUCAUGGAAUACAAUCCAGAAUUCCUCUCUCAAUGUUUCCUCCACACACUCUCUCCACAACCCGAGCCUCGCCGUGCCGCCGAAUCCAAACUCGCCGAACUCGCCGACCACCCUAACUACGCCCUCGCCGUCCUCCGCCUCGUAGCUGAACCCUCUAUCAAUGAACAGAUCCGCCACGCCGCCGCUGUCAACUUCAAAAACCACCUCCGCUCCCGGUGGGCUCCAUCUCCUGAUUCCUCCUUCACUCCGAUCCUCGACGCGGAAAAGGACCAAAUCAAAACCCUGAUUGUCACUCUCAUGCUCUCCUCUACUCCUCGAAUCCAAUCUCAGCUUAGCGAAUCGCUCUCUCUUAUUGGAAAACACGAUUUCCCUAAAUCCUGGCCCACUCUGCUGCCUGAGCUCGUGUCAAAUCUCCGAGCCGCUUCGCAGUCAAACGAUUAUGCUUCAAUUAAUGGUAUUCUCGGUACUGCUAAUUCCAUUUUUAAGAAGUUUCGUUAUCAGUAUAAAACUAAUGAUCUCUUACUUGAUUUAAAGUAUUGUUUGGAUAAUUUCUCCGCUCCAUUACUAGAAAUGUUCCUUAGAACAGCGGCUUUGAUUGAUUCCAUGGUUAGUUCAGGUGGGGGGUCACCUGUUACUCUAAAGCCGUUGUUUGAGUCACAGAGAUUGUGUUGUAGAAUAUUUUUUUCAUUGAAUUUUCAAGAGUUGCCCGAGUUUUUUGAGGAUCAUAUGAAAGAGUGGAUGGCUGAAUUUAAGAAAUAUUUAACAAAUGGCUAUCCUGUGCUAGAGAGUAGUGCGGAAGGAUUAGGUCUUGUUGAUGAGCUUAGGGCUGCAGUAUGUGAGAAUAUUAGUCUUUAUAUGGAGAAAAAUGAGGAGGAGUUUAAGGAUUAUUUGAAUGAUUUUGCACAAGCUGUUUGGACUUUGUUAGGGAAUGUGUCCCAGUCCUCAAGUCGUGAUAGUUUAGCUGUUACCGCAAUUAAGUUUUUGACUACUGUGAGUACUAGUGUUCAUCAUACUUUGUUUGCGGUUGACGGGGUUAUACCACAGAUUUGCCAAAGUAUUGUGAUUCCUAAUGUGAGGUUGAGGGAUGAGGAUGAGGAACUUUUUGAGAUGAAUUAUAUUGAGUUUAUUAGGAGGGAUAUGGAAGGGAGUGAUAUAGACACUAAAAGGAGGAUUGCUUGUGAAUUACUUAAAGGGAUUGCAACAAAUUAUAAGCAGCAGGUGAUCAGUAUAGUUUCUGUUCAGAUUCAGAAUUUGUUGACUUCGUAUGCUGCAAACCCAGCUGCACACUGGAAGGACAAGGAUUGUGCGAUAUAUUUGGUCGUAUCCCUUUCAACUAAGAAGGCCGGCGGUACUUCUGUUUCAACUGAUCUUGUUGAUGUUCAGAGCUUUUUUGCAUCGGUAAUAGUGCCUGAGUUGCAGAGUCAGGAUGUAAAUGCCUUUCCAAUGCUCAAGGCUGGUGCUCUUAAAUUCUUUACAAUGUUUAGGAAUCAGAUACCAAAGCCUCUUGUACUUCAGUUGUUCCCGUAUUUGAUUCAAUUCCUAGGUGCAGAGUCAAACGUUGUUCAUUCUUAUGCUGCAAGCUGUAUAGAAAAACUCUUGUUGGUCAAGGAUGAAGGGGGAAGAUCAAGGUAUACUUCAACAGAUGUAGCUCCAAAUCUGCUAGUGCUGAUGAAUAACCUUUUUACUGCCUUGAGGUUUCCGGAGUCAGAGGAGAAUCAAUACAUAAUGAAGAGUAUCAUGCGGGUUCUAGGGGUUGCAGAAAUAACUCCUGAGAUUGCCGGACCUUGCAUUGCUGGAUUGACUUCUAUUCUGGCUGAAGUUUGCAAGAAUCCAAAGAAUCCAAUUUUCAAUCACUAUCUCUUUGAAUCAGUGGCUGUUCUUGUAAGGCGGGCAUGUGAAAGAGACAUCUCUCUCAUACCAUCUUUUGAAACAAGCCUGUUUCCUAGACUCCAGGAGAUCUUGGGAAAUGAUGUAACUGAGUUUUUGCCUUAUGCAUUCCAGCUAUUGGCUCAACUUGUUGAGUUGAAUAGACCACCCAUCUCAGAUACCUACAUGGAAAUUUUUAAACUUCUCCUGUCUCCUGAUUCAUGGAAUAGAAACUCAAAUGUCCCAGCCCUUGUCCGUCUCCUUCAGGCUUUCCUUGAGAAAGCACCUGAGAAGGUCACCCAAGAGGGGAGACUAGCUCAGGUGCUUGGCAUAUUUAACAGGCUCGUGUCAGCCCCGAGCACUGAUGAACAAGGCUUCUAUGUGCUGAACACUGUUAUUGAGAAUCUUGACUAUGGAACCAUUGCUCCCUAUGUUGGUCACAUCUGGAAUGCCCUAUUUUCUCGCUUGCAAAGUAAACGCACAGUAAAGUUUAUCAAGUCUCUUUCGAUUUUCAUGUCACUCUUUGUGGUCAAGCAUGGCUCUGCAAACCUUGUGGACUCUAUGAAUUCAGUGCAAGCUGGUAUAUUUUUGGUGAUUUUGGAGCAGUUCUUGAUACCUAAUCUCAAGCUGAUCACUGGGCGCAUUGAGGUCAAGUUAGUAUCAGUUGCCUCGAUCCGACUUAUCUGUGAAUCUCCUGCCCUUUUGGAUGCUGGGGCUGUUAGACACUGGGGGAAAAUGCUGGACAGCAUUGUAACUCUCCUUUCACGAACAGAGGAGGAUAGAGUUGGGGAUGAACCGGAAAUGCCAGAUAUUGCUGAAAAUGCAGGUUAUACUGUUUCAUUUGUGAAUCUGUACAAUGCUGGAAAGAAGGAGGAGGAUCCUUUGAAGGACAUAAAAGAUCCUAAGGAAUUCUUGGCUGCUUCAUUAGCGAAGCUUUCUGCCCUUUCCCCUGCGAGGUUUCCCCAGAUCAUCAAUGAAAAUCUUGAUCCAGCAAAUCAAGCAGUAUUGCUCCAGAUUUGCAGCACUUACAACUGUCCGAUUGUUUGAUUAAUCUCUACCUGUGUGGUCCUGCCAGAGAGAAGCCUACUGAAAGUCAACAAGUUUCUAGGGUGUAGCUGCAUCUGCUUUGGUUUCUCUUACAAAGUAUUAUCAUGUGGGAGUUGAGGUCUGUUGUGUGGUCGGAUUUUCAACAAGGGGUUUCAUCGCAUUUAUGAGCAGGUGGUACCUUUUGCAUUGUGGUCGACUGGUUUUGUCAAGUAAUAAUCUUGUUUGCAACUUCCCAUGAUAUAUGCAGUAAUGACUUGAUUUUGUGGCCACAGCCUGGCAGCGAUUUUCCUAAAGAGUUAAUGAUAGUUCCACAAUGUGGUUUAUCGAAUCUGGUUUGACAAACCUCCUUCCAGGCUUUAUUGUGAAGAGUUUUAUGAGUCUUGUUCAACUGCAUUUGUGAUCUAAAUGUAGUUUCUGUGUACUUUACAUGCAUGCACUGUUGUCAUUGGGCCCACGAAAUGAAAAAAAAACAGUUUUUGAGGGUGUUAGGCCAGUCAGUUAAUGUGAAGGUGAAUUUUGGUUGAUUUGCUGUUGCAAGUCUUCAUAACUACUACUAGCAUGUUCCUGUGGUAAAUUUGAUUUUCCAUUUUUUCCUGUAAAA